GUGGGGAAUAUUGGACAAUGGGGGGAACCCUGAUCCAGCCAUGCCGCGUGUGUGAAGAAGGCCUUUUGGUUGUAAAGCACUUUAAGCGAGGAGGAGGCUACCGAGAUUAAUACUCUUGGAUAGUGGACGUUACUCGCAGAAUAAGCACCGGCUAACUCUGUGCCAGCAGCCGCGGUAAUACAGAGGGUGCAAGCGUUAAUCGGAUUUACUGGGCGUAAAGAGCGCGUAGGUGGCCAAUUAAGUCAAAUGUGAAAUCCCCGGGCUUAACUUGGGAAUUGCAUUCGAUACUGGUUGGGUAGAGUAUGGGAGAGGAUGGUAGAAUUCCAGGUGUAGCGGUGAAAUGCGUAGAGAUCUGGAGGAAUACCGAUGGCGAAGGCAGCCAUCUGGCCUAAUACUGACACUGAGGUGCGAAAGCAUGGGGAGCAAACAGGAUUAGAUACCCCAGUAGUCC
rnacentral:rRNA from 1 species